rnacentral:lncRNA from 1 species
AAAGUUGGAACACACUCAAGGGACUACAACUUUUAUUAAAGGUCUGACUUGAGGUUAGAUAUAAAAUUGUGAGAUUCUAGGCUGCAAAGUUGAAGAAAAACCUGAAUUCCAGGACUUAGGUCAUUUGUAGGGUUUUAAUAUACUCCUGGUUUGAUUCUUGAUUUUGACCUUCUCCCACUCUGAAUUAGCCAAAAUGUUAUUAACAAAAGUUGUUUGAAAUUAAAAGUUUUAUAGCUCUUAGUUGGGCAAAAUUUUAUGUUUGUAUAUAAAAACUCAAGUUUUAUGUUUAACUCCAAAACGAGCUUUUUAGGGGCAAAAUGGACAUUUCACCUCUUUUACUCAGUGACUAAUGACUUGUUUAAGUUUAAUUACACCUAACUAAGGUAGAG